CGCGAAUUCGCCCUUGGGGGCGCAGCGGGCGCGAAAUUUUUGCAGUGGGGGAAACCGUGACAGGGGAACUCUGAGUGCCCAUAAAAUCGGGUUGUCCAUCGGUUUAAAUAACCGGUGAAUAAAGGGCCGGGCAAGACAGGUGCCACCCGCCGCGGUAAUACCGGCGGCUCUAGUGGGGGCCACUAUUACUGGGCUUAAAGCGUUCGUAUCUGGUUUGUUAAUUCUCUGGGGAAAUCUUCCGGCUUAACCGUAAGGCGUCUCAGGGAUACUGUCACACUAUGGACCGGGAGAGAUGAGAGGUACUCCUCGGGUAGGAGUGAAAUCCUGUAAUCCUUGGGGGACCACCUGUGGGGAAAGCGUCUCACCACAACGGCUCCCACAGUGAGGGACAAAAGCUGGGGGAGCAAACCGGAUUAUAUACCCGGGUAUUCCCAUCUGUAAACAAUACACGUUAUGUGUAUCGGUGACCACGAGUCACCGAGGUGCCCAAUAGAAAUCGUGAAACGUGCCGCCUGUGAAAUACAGUCGCAAGGCUGAAACUUAAAGGAAUUGUCGGGGGAGAAC
rnacentral:rRNA from 1 species